rnacentral:rRNA from 1 species
GAGUUUGAUCGUGGCUCAGAUUGAACGCUGGCGGCAUGCCUUACACAUGCAAGUCGAACGGCAGCAUGAUCUAGCUUGCUAGAUUGAUGGCGAGUGGCGAACGGGUGAGUAAUACGUCGGAACGUGCCCUGUAGUGGGGGAUAACUAGUCGAAAGAUUAGCUAAUACCGCAUACGACCUGAGGGUGAAAGUGGGGGACCGCAAGGCCUCAUGCUAUAGGAGCGGCCGAUGUCUGAUUAGCUAGUUGGUGGGUAAAGGCCCACCAAGGCGACGAUCAGUAGCUGGUCUGAGAGGACGAUCAGCCACACUGGGACUGAGACACGGCCCAGACUCCUACGGGAGGCAGCAGUGGGGAAUUUUGGACAAUGGGCGAAAGCCUGAUCCAGCAAUGCCGCGUGUGUGAAGAAGGCCUCGGUGUAAG